rnacentral:rRNA from 1 species
UAGGGAAUAUUGGACAAUGGGCGAAAGCCUGAUCCAGCCAUGCCGCGUGUGUGAAGAAGGUCUUCGGAUUGUAAAGCACUUUAAGUUGGGAGGAAGGGCAGUAACUUAAUACGUUGCUGUCUUGACGUUACCGACAGAAUAAGCACCGGCUAACUCUGUGCCAGCAGCCGCGGUAAUACAGAGGGUGCAAGCGUUAAUCGGAAUUACUGGGCGUAAAGCGCGCGUAGGUGGUUUGUUAAGUUGGAUGUGAAAGCCCCGGGCUCAACCUGGGAACUGCAUCCAAAACUGGCAAGCUAGAGUAUGGUAGAGGGUGGUGGAAUUUCCUGUGUAGCGGUGAAAUGCGUAGAUAUAGGAAGGAACACCAGUGGCGAAGGCGACCACCUGGACUGAUACUGACGCUCAGGUGCGAAAGCGUGGGGAGCAAACAGGAUUAGAUACCCUUGUAGUCCCUGAGCGGGCUGGCAAGGCGCAU